rnacentral:rRNA from 1 species
UACGAAGGGGGCUAGCGUUGCUCGGAUUUACUGGGCGUAAAGGGCGCGUAGGCGGACAGUUUAGUCAGAGGUGAAAGCCCAGGGCUCAACCUUGGAAUUGCCUUUGAUACUGGCUGUCUUGAGUAUGGGAGAGGUGAGUGGAACUCCGAGUGUAGAGGUGAAAUUCGUAGAUAUUCGGAAGAACACCAGUGGCGAAGGCGACUCACUGGCCCGUUACUGACGCUGAGGCGCGAAAGCGUGGGGAGCAAACAGG